AGAACGAACGCUGGCGGCGUGGAUAAGACAUGCAAGUCGAACGGGUUUAGUUUCGGAGCAAUUCGGAAUUAGGCCAGUGGCGAACGGGUGCGUAACACGUGAGUCAUCUGCCUGAAAGUGGGGGAUAGCUCGCCGAAAGGCGAAUUAAUACCGCAUGUGGUUGUAAGACCAAAGCCGGGGCAACCUGGCGCUUUUAGAGGAACUCGCGGCCUAUCAGCUUGUUGGUGAGGUAACGGCUUACCAAGGCUUCGACGGGUAGCUGGUCUGAGAGGACGACCAGCCACACUGGAACUGAGACACGGUCCAGACACCUACGGGUGGCAGCAGUCGAGAAUUUUUCUCAAUGGGGGAAACCCUGAAGGAGCGACGCCGCGUGGAGGAUGAAUGCUUUCGGGUGUAAACUCCUGUCAUUUGGGAACAAGCCUUACGUUAACUGCGUGGAGGUUUGAUAGUACCGAAAGAGGAAGAGACGGCUAACUCUGCGCCAGCAGCCGCGGU
rnacentral:rRNA from 1 species